UUUCUAAACAGUCUAUGCUCCAGGAAACGGAGAAGCUAGGAAAUGGCUCUAGGGCUGGAUUUGAGGAUCCCAUAUGCACAAUCGCAGCACACCAGGGCAUUCCACGAUGUAACAGCCCUCUCUGCCUCCUGCCUCCACUGAUGCCAAAAUCCACUAACUGCUCAUUAGCAAAGAUACCACUGUGGAAUCACACAAGAGGCUUUCCCAAGGCCACAUGGCUCAUGCAUGCAGGCCAAGCUCAAAUACUGACUCAAAGCCAAAGGCUUGGCCCACCUUCAAGAGAGUCAACAAAUAUCUCCUGAUCAGAACAAGAACAUAUAUUUUCACUUUCUGCAAUCUAAAACUUAUGUAACCUGGAACAUGACUUGGCACCUACUGUUUGCGAGACAUCAUCCAGGGUCCCUUUGUGGAGAUGAGUAAGAGUUGACUUCUGCCCAGCAGCACAUUGCAUUUUUUGGGAAAGGCUAUAGGGCUCUCUCUGGACCAACUGAUGUAAAGUACGAGGGUGGCACAGGAGUCUUCUGAAGUUUCCAAGAUUCUGUUACUUAAAAAAUGCCUAAAGGCCAUCUUAGAAGCCUAACUUGAGCACUUAAGAAGAAGUGGCCUCUUGAAAGUGAUCUGUAAGUUCUAAGCCUGAAGAACAAUAGAUUUACAAUGCUAAAAAUAUAUUUCAUUGUUGUUAUUGUUUCAUAUCAGCUAGUAUGUGUUGAAUGCUCAUGCUGUAUGUCCUAAUGACAAAUCUAUUCUUAGCUCAUUUUAUAACUGACUGAACAGAAUCUUACCUCAAGAGAUUUUUCAUGUUGACUUGGCUCAUAAAUGUGGUAGAGAUUAAGUUCUCUGAGGAACAGUCCUCUUUAUGGUUCUUACGGAGGAUGUUCAUGUUCCCUCAGAAUCUUAGCCCCAGUGUGAUGAUAUUUACAUGUGGGACUUUCGGUUGGAAGGUAAUCAAAUAAAACAGAGCUGGAACCAGUAAGUGGAACCUCCAUGAUGGGAUAGGAUCCUUAUAAAAAGAGGAAGAGAAUUCGAGGUCUGCCUCUCUUUGACCAGAUGAAGACACUAGGGGAAAGAAACUGUUGGCUAGCCAGGAAAAGAAUCCUAUCAGGAGGCAAAUCAGUUGGCACUGUGAUUUUUGAAUUCUCAGUGUUUGGAAUUCAGAGAUAUUAAAGCGAGCUGUUUAAACCACUCCAUCUGACCCUAGUUAUUACACCUGAAUUGAUAAAGACCAUGGUCCUCUUCUUUCCUCAUCUAUGCCCAUUUCUUCCUCAGUGUUACCCUUGUAAUUAAAAAUACACCCCUUUUUCACCCCUCAACUACCUUGCACACAAACUAGGUUGUGCAUCGGGGGCUGCCUCGGCUUCCAUGAGAGAUUAUAGCUGAUGCUCCAAUUAAUUAUGCAGCAGCCUCUUUGGCUAAUAAAAUCUAAACAAAGAGCUUUUAAUCCAAUUCAUCGUUUUUUCUCCAUCGUGAGCAGCCUGUCAAACACAAUCAGAUUCGGCGUGCGAAGCAGAGAGAAGGCAGGCGUCAGCCCCACCUACUUAGCAGGGCUGCGAGCAGGAAGCUCCAAGUCAGAGAACAGUUGGCUGCGCAGAUGGCAGAGACGGAAGACUUGGGGGAAAGCCACCCUCUGCUGCAGCAUCGCAUCGGGAAAGGACCAUUUGGGGGUUGCGGGCAGCGAGGCACUUCCCUGUGCCUCUUGGCUUGGUCGCGCCAGUGUAUGAGAACUCAGAAAAAGUGACAUAAAUAUUUACCAGAGGAUGUCUAUAUAAUCAACACUUGAUACAGUCAAUCUCUAAUAAAAAAUCACUGGUUUCCCUCUUUUAUAGGUAAAAAGAAAGAAGACCUAACAUGCAAUGUAAAUUACUUACAGUUGCAUAGCUAGUAAGUAGAAGUGUAGGGAUUUGAAUUCUUAUCUUCCAGAUUCUCUGCCUUGUGCCAGUCUUAUUGAAGAAGGCUCUAAGACAUUCCUAGGGCAAUAGUGCCUUAUCCACCCUUGGCUGAAAUGCUGGAUGGAGCAGCUAGAAACCCGGAAACAUGGUCUUACAUUUAAAGUAUUUCUGAUACAAAUGGGGAGAGAAUUAGUACAUGGGGCUAAUUUUUCAAUGUUGGGCUGUGUGGUCGUAACUCGACAUAAUAAAAAGGAGCAAAUCGAAUAGCCAAAAAGCUCAUACCAUCUCAGAACUGAAAAGGCCACCCUUGUUAUAUGUGAGCACAUCCUUGGAACCUCUUGAGGGUGAAAAUCAUGUCUCAUUUAUUACUUUGAUUACUGUCAUGAGAUAGUUAUUGAUUAUGUAAAUAAAAAUUAAUCUUAAAGAAUAAAGAAAUUCAGAUAUCAUGUACUACAUGUAUAUUUUGUGUGGAAGUCAUGAACAUCCUUGGGGAAUUUCUAAAAACUCCUAGGGGAGAAAUGCACAUACAAUUUUUGGAAGUCCAGGUCUCACAGAAAGCGAUUCAUUAUUGUCACACUGAAUAUUAAGAAGAUGAUUCAGGAAAUUGUGAUACAUUUUCUCAAUUAAAAGAUUCACAGUUUGAAAUUAAUAUUUAUCAUAACACUGAGAGAAAAUGUUUGCUUACAAAGGAAAUAAACCAGGCCAUAAACAUUUUGUACAGCAUAUGAAUUUUAUUAGAUACAAAAUUCCCAGUAAGUGCUCCAGGUCUGAUAAAACUAUCUCUCUGUACAUGUAUGUGCCUCACUUGCCAGAGUGUGGUCUUGUGUAAGCUCCUGAAUCUCUGAUACCUGUGUCUCUUCCCUUCUUCCUCCCUCCCUCCCUCCUUCCAUCGCUUCCUUCCUUCCUUCCUUCCUUCCCUUUUCUCUCCCUUCUUUUCCUGCUUUUGUGGUACUAGCAAUUGCAAUAAGCCAAGGCUUCAAGACCUUUGCAAUAAGCCACAUCUCAGUACUUUUUAGAUUUUAUUUUGAGAUAAAUUCUCUUUAAAUCACUAACUUGCCCAGGCUGGGGCUCAGACUUGCAAUCCUCCUGCUCCAGCCUCCAAGAGUACUGGAAUUACUAAAGAUUGUAUCUUUUUAUAAAGUUAUCUAUCACUGAGGAAAACCCUUCCUAAAAUUACUGUGUUUUAUUAUUUUUACUCUAUAAUUUAUUCCCAUCAUUUUAUAUGCUCACACCUAUAAACAAAUACACACUUAUGAAUGCAUGCAUACACUAAAUAGUUCAGAAUUUACCUCUGAGGUGGAGAGUAAGAUUGUUUGUAGAAGAUGGUAACCUGAUAAACAGCGACUUCAAAUAUUUUUUCAAUAAAACAUGAAUCAUACAUUACUGUAAAUCAAAAUAAAGGAACGUACAACAAAUGUGGAGAAUUGUAGCAAAUGGAAACUACUCUUUCCUCUACACAUUUUGUUCAUAAGAUGGGAUGUUUUCUGCAUUCUGAAAUUAUAUAACCUCUUCAAGAUACGGUGCCUAAAUUGAGUCCCACUUUUUGUCUUGAAUUUUGCCUGGAAAGAGAGGAAACAUGCAAAUAUUCGCUGAACAAUGCACAACCGCUGCACUAGAGAACAGGUAUCUGGCGGAUUGAUCCACUACCACCUGGUCUCUUACCUCUACAGCUUAUAUCGCGAGGUAAAGGCCCUCCAUUCUGCAGGGCCAACCUAUUCACAUGAAAGUACCAUUACCAUAUAAUUAAACAGUGGAACUGUGAGCAGAGGUUGUUAAGUAUCUACUUCCAAUGUUAAGUUUUCCAUUCCAGAAGGGUGCUUCACUGCUCAAAUAAUAAUAUUUAGGCAUGCAUUUUUUCUGUCCACUUCCAUCCGUGGAGACUUGGGCAGGAACAAUUAGCAGUCCCUGGCAAGCUGCCCUCAGAAAAGAAUGAGAAGAUAACAGCUUCAGGAAACAAGGAGAACUUGUUAGUAGAAGGACAUGUUAAGAGACUAUCAUGAACAAACUUUUGAAGGAAUUUACCAAGCUUAAAUGAUCCAAAUCACAGAUUUCUAUGAGAGUUUUUGUCACUGAUAAAGUCAAGAUGAAACCAGAAGUUGGGAGGACAUGUUUCCUGAUGAGGAGGGAAUUUCAGAACCAUGAGGAAAGAAAGGAGGGUAAAGGUAUCUAUCCCACCAAGGACAGCCACUGCUUCUGUCUUAACAAUAGGAAGACGUAGGUGGAUGAGUAGUUGCAUAAAAGAUAAUCUCACCAAUGACGUGAUAUUUUUUCAACAAAACACUGCCAUUGUGUGCUCUACUAAAGGUGGGAGGGAAUAAUGACCUAUACUUCAGCAAUAACAGCAAGAAAUGUGUCUCACGCAUUUGUUUAUUCGAUAAAUAUUUUUAUUUAUUAUAUAAGUGCUGUUGGGCGUCUUCUGUUUGCCACCUCUAUUCUAGGUAUUGUCUUUCUAACAACUCACAAAAUAGGUAAGGAGCUUGUUUUAGUUACUUUUUACUCGCCGCUGAGACAAAAUACCUGAUGCCCAAGUUGGGAAAGGAAAGGUUUAUUUCUUACAGUUUUGGGAGGUUUCAGUCCACGCUCAGUUGGCUCCCAGGCAGGUGGGCAUGGCUGGGCUGCAGUUCAUGGCGGCUGCAAAUAGCAAACUCGAACCAGCAAAGAGAAAGAGACACCUUCUUCCUGCCAUUACAUGACAUCCUGGCUCUGCCCCCAUGUGGGUGGAGCACUGACACCAUCAAUCCAAGCACUAGACAAUGAACCAAUCACAAAUACACAAUGCAAACUCAUGAGGCCUGGGGGACACAGACAUAAACCAUGACAGAGCUUCCUUGUUAAGAAUGAAGUUCAGCCCAGAAGAACUGAAAGCAUCAUACCACAGUGAUUAUAUGUGCACCUAUGUUUAUAGCAGCACAAUUUGUAAUCGCAAGAUCUUGGAAACAACCCAAGUGUCCAUCAACUGAGGAAUGGAUUAAAAAGUUGUGGUAUUUCUAUACAAUGGAGUAUUACUCAGCUAUAAAGAAGGAUCACAUUGAGAUAUUUAUCAAUA